rnacentral:rRNA from 1 species
UGGGGAAUAUUGGACAAUGGGGGAAACCCUGAUCCAGCGAUGCCGCGUGAAUGAUGAAGGUCUUCGGAUUGUAAAGUUCUUUUGUUGGGGAAGAUAAUGACGGUACCCAACGAAUAAGCCCCGGCUAACUUCGUGCCAGCAGCCGCGGUAAUACGAAGGGGGCUAGCGUUGUUCGGAGUGACUGGGCGUAAAGGGAGCGUAGGCGGUUUAUUUUGUCUGAUGUGAAAGUCAAGGGCUUAACCUUUGGAUUGCAUUGGAAACGGGUAGACUGGAGUGCGAGAGAGGUGUAUGGAAUUGCUUGUGUAGAGGUGAAAUUCGUAGAUAUAAGCAAGAAUACCAAAGGCGAAGGCAUUACACUGGCUCGUAACUGACGCUGAGGCUCGAAAGCGUGGGGAGCAAA